AUUUAGCGAGCUGAGUGGGGAGGAGAGAGGGACAGAGAGCCUGCUUGCUUUAAAGGAGCCAACCGGACUCUCCUCUCCCGCUUUACUCCUUUAAAGCAAGCAGGCUCUCUGUCCCUCUCUCCUCCCCACUCAGCGGCUCUUCUC
rnacentral:miRNA from 1 species